CCCACCACGAGACACCUCAGAAUCCAGCCCAGUAAUUCUAACAUCAGCAGUCCAGCUGACAAAUGGUAUAUCUGGCUUUCCCCUGAUUCCUCAGCCAUGACCCCUUGAUCUGUUGCCAUCCUGAAGCACUUCAGGGCAGCAGAAGGACCAGAGUUCAGAUUCUCCUUGCUGUUGGAAAACCCGCUCAGAAGAGACAGGCCUCAUGUCCUAAGGACGAUCCUCCAGAGAGCUCUGACCCAAACCCAGUUAAUCGACGGCACUGAGGAAAAAGGCCAAGAGGGGGGUUGAAAAAUUACAGAAGUUGAUACCUUCUGGACCUCAAAAAGCAGUCGUGGAACGUCUAAUGGCAGCCCUGGAUAAUAUCUAUACGUAUUUCCAGCGAUGGACCACCAACCAAACUCCGGGUCAGGGACCUACCUGAGGAUGCCAAGCUCUCUCCUUGGAGCGGCCUUAGACUGUCCAGGUCAUUAGCCAACGGAACCACUGCCUACCGCCAAAUGUUAGCGUGAACCCGGACACUGCACUGAUCUUGGCGUAAAAGACAUUUGGAGUCACCAUUCCACCUUUAUGUUGCAGGCCUAGUCUCCUUACCUGAUUGAUCUCCAUCGGAUUCUCUCUCUUUUGUGACAGGGUUAGGGCAAAGGGACAGUAAAAGAUCUUCUACACUUUUAGAACAUUGCCGUUGAGACAGCUAUGACAGUGGCUACUGUAGUUGCUGGACUCUGAAUAAAGAUCAAUGGUAUUUGAGAGCUUACUGUUUGCAGAGCAUUGUACUAACCACUUGGGAGUGUACAAUACAAAAGAGUAGGUGUAGUAGCUACACAGUCUUAGUGAAGUGAUGGGGUGGAAACCAGAGAGAAGAGGGUCAAGAAAGGAACUGGAUGAUUUGGGCAUUUACACAUUUACUGUGUGUCAAGCACUGUUCUAAGUAUUGGAGUAAACAUUAAUCAGACUGGACACAGCCCUUGUCCCACAUAGGGAGAACAGGAAGUGGAGAGAGUGGGUAUGUACAACCCUUUUGGAUGGGAAUAGGGGGGAAGGUGAAACCCUCUCCACCCCUCGCACUAUCACCUCC
rnacentral:lncRNA from 1 species